AUGGACCUGCAACACUUAGACCUGCCAUUCUCGGUGGAGGAAAUUAAAAAGGCGGUUUUCAAUUUGCAUGAUGAAAAAGCUCCUGGACCUGAUGGAUUCAUUGGCAUUUUUUUCAAGAGAUUUUGGAAUCUUAUUAAGGAUGACUUGGUGGCUGCUGUCAACCAGCUGUUUUUCCUCAGAGGGGACAAUUGGAAGCUGCUCAACUCCGCACACAUUGUUUUGUUGCCAAAGAUUGAUUCGGCCAGAAGUGCUUCUCAUUUUAGGCCAGUGAGCUUGAUUCACAGUUUUGCAAAAAAAUUCUGCAAGUUGCUAGCAAAUCGGCUGGGACUGGAGCUUGAAAAACUGAUCUCAUGCUCUCAGAGCGCCUUCAUUCGUGGGAGAGCCAUUCAAGACAAUUUCCUCUAUGUUCAGAACACUAUCAAAUAUGCACACAAAAAGAAUAUCCCCCUCGUCUUCCUGAAGCUUGAUUUCGCAAAGGCGUUUGACUCAGUCCUUUGGCCAUACUUGAUUGAUGUCAUGAAGGCUUAUGGGUUUGGACAACGAUGGAGAGAUAUCAUUACUCAGCUGCUUGCCUCCUCCACUUCGCGCAUUCUGCUUAAUGGUUGCCCUGGGCCAGUGUUUGCUCACAAGAAGGGAUUGUGACAGGAUGAUCCCCUAUCUCCGAUGCUUUUUAUCCUGGCUAUGGACCCCCUGAUACGGAUGUUGGACGAUGCUACAAGGAGGGGCUUGCUCCUACCAAUUCCCGAGAAUGCUGUUAGGAUGAAAGCAAGUCUUUAUGCAGAUGAUGCUGCAAUUUUCACCUCUCCUGACCCUUGGCAAAUUAAGAUCAUUCUCAAGAUCCUUGAUGUCUUUGGUAGCAUUUCUAGCCUA
rnacentral:rRNA from 1 species